AUUGAACGCUGGCGGCAGGCCUAACACAUGCAAGUCGAACGGCAGCACAGAAGAGCUUGCUCUUUGGGUGGCGAGUGGCGGACGGGUGAGUAAUGUCUGGGAAACUGCCCGAUGGAGGGGGAUAACUACUGGAAACGGUAGCUAAUACCGCAUAACGUCGCGAGACCAAAGUGGGGGACCUUCGGGCCUCACACCAUCGGAUGUGCCCAGAUGGGAUUAGCUAGUAGGUGGGGUAAUGGCUCACCUAGGCGACGAUCCCUAGCUGGUCUGAGGGGAUGACCAGCCACACUGGAACUGAGACACGGUCCUGACGCGUACGGUGGGCAGCAGUGGGGAAUAUUGCACAAUGGGCGCAAGCCUGAUGCAGCCAUGCCGCGUGUAUGAAGAAGGCCUUCGGGUUGUAAAGUACUUUCAGCGGGGAGGAAGGCGGUGAGGUUAAUAACCUUGCCGAUUGACGUUACCCGCAGAAGAAGCACCGGCUAACUCCGUGCCAGCAGCCGCCGUAA
rnacentral:rRNA from 1 species